rnacentral:rRNA from 1 species
AGUCGAACGAUGAAACUUUAAUGAACCCUUCGGGGAGAAUUAAAGCGGAUUAGUGGCGAACGGGUGAGUAACGCGUGAGUAACCUGCCUUACACAAGGGGAUCGCCUUUGGAAACGAAGAAUAAUACCCUAUAAAACCAUAAAAGCACAUGCAAUUAUGGUCAAAGUGAUAGCGGUGUAAGAUGGACUUGCGUCUGAUUAGCUAGUUGGUGAGAUAAAAGCCCACCAAGGCAACGAUCAGUAGCCGGCUUGAGAGAGUGUACGGCCACAUUGGGACUGAGACACGGCCCAGACUCCUACGGGAGGCAGCAGUGGGGAAUUUUGCACAAUGGGGGAAACCCUGAUGCAGCGACGCCGCGUGAUUUAGAAGGCCUUCGGGUUGUAAAAAUCUUUUGUAUAGGAAGAAAAUGACAGUACUAUACGAAUAAGGUCCGGCUAAUUACGUGCCAGCAGCCGCGGUAAUACGUAAGGACCGAGCGUUGUCCGGAAUCAUUGGGCGUAAAGGGUACGUAGGCGGCUAGAAAAGUUAGAAGUCAAAGGCUAUAGCUCAACUAUAGUAAGCUUCUAAAACUAUUUAGCUUGAGAGAUGGAAGGGAAAGUGGAAUUCCUAGUGUAGCGGUGGAAUGCGCAGAUAUUAGGAGGAAUACCGGUGGCGAAGGCGACUUUCUGGCCAUUUUCUGA